rnacentral:rRNA from 2 species
CUCUACGGCCAUACCACUUAGAAAGCACCGGUUCUCGUCCGAUCACCGAAGUUAAGCUCAGUAGGGCGCGGUAAGUACUUGCUGCCAAAGCGCCUGGGAAGUAGUGUGCUGCAGGCA